AAGAAAUUAGCUCAGUUGGUAGAGCGUUCGUUUUACACACGAAGGUCAGGUGUUCAAAUCACCUAUUUCUUA
rnacentral:ncRNA from 13 species